rnacentral:misc_RNA from 1 species
GUGAAUAUUAGCGCAUCUACUUGUAGAGCGUGACCUCCACUUUCUAACUCUGUGCAUUUAUUGGCGGAAGAACUAGAGUAAUCGAAUUCUUCUGCGGCUCAUUUUAUAACACUAGUUAAAGUAUGUAACGAAAUAUCGAAACAAAAAA